CCUGGCUUAGGAUGAACGCUAGCGGCAGGCUUAACACAUGCAAGUCGAGGGGCAUCGGGAGUAGCAAUACUUGCCGGCGACCGGCGCAAGGGUGCGUAACGCGUGAGCAACAUGCCCGUAUCAGGGGGAUAAUCCAUGGAAACGUGGUCUAAUACCCCAUAGUAAUUAUGUAAGGCAUCUUAUAUAAUUUAAAGCUUUGGUGGAUACGGAUUGGCUCGCGUGACAUUAGCUGGAUGGUAAGGUAACGGCUUACCAUGGCUACGAUGUCUAGGGGUUCUGAGAGGAAGGUCCCCCACACUGGAACUGAGACACGGUCCAGACUCCUACGGGAGGCAGCAGUGAGGAAUAUUGGACAAUGGAUGGAAAUCUGAUCCAGCCAUGCCGCGUGCAGGAAGAACCGGCCCUAUGGGUUGUAAACUGCUUUUGUAUGGGAGCAAUAAGGGCUACGUGUAGUCCGAUGAGAGUACCAUACGAAUAAGCACCGGCUAACUCCGUGCCAGCAGCAGC
rnacentral:rRNA from 1 species